rnacentral:rRNA from 1 species
UACGGAAGCAGCAGUGGGGAAUAUUGCACAAUGGGCGCAAGCCUGAUGCAGCCAUGCCGCGUGUAUGAAGAAGGCCUUCGGGUUGUAAAGUACUUUCAGUCGUGAGGAAGGUGUUAAGGUUAAUAACCUUAGCAAUUGACGUUAGCGACAGAAGAAGCACCGGCUAACUCCGUGCCAGCAGCCGCGGUAAUACGGAGGGUGCGAGCGUUAAUCGGAAUUACUGGGCGUAAAGGGCACGCAGGCGGUUAAUUAAGUUGGAUGUGAAAUCCCCGGGCUUAACCUGGGAAUGGCAUUCAAGACUGGUUAGCUAGAGUCUUGUAGAGGGGGUAGAAUUCCAUGUGUAGCGGUGAAAUGCGUAGAGAUGUGGAGGAAUACCGGUGGCGAAGGCGGCCCCUGGACAAAGACUGACGCUCAUGUGCGAAAGCGUGGGGAGCAAACGAGGGAUUAGAUACC